rnacentral:rRNA from 1 species
UACGGAGGAUCCAAGCGUUAUCCGGAUUUAUUGGGUUUAAAGGGUGCGUAGGCGGUUUAUUAAGUCAGUGGUGAAAGCCCGGAGCUCAACCUCGGAACUGCCUUCGAUACUGCGGGUCUCGAGUCCGGGAGAGGUGAGUGGAAUUCCUAGUGUAGAGGUGAAAUUCGUAGAUAUUAGGAAGAACACCAGUGGCGAAGGCGGCUCACUGGCCCGGUACUGACGCUGAGGCGCGAAAGCGUGGGGAGCAAACAGG